rnacentral:rRNA from 1 species
UACGUAGGGGGCUAGCGUUGUCCGGAAUCAUUGGGCGUAAAGCGCGUGUAGGCGGCCCGGUAAGUCCGCUGUGAAAGUCGGGGGCUCAACCCUCGGAUGCCGGUGGAUACUGUCGGGCUAGAGUGCGGAAGAGGCGAGUGGAAUUCCUGGUGUAGCGGUGAAAUGCGCAGAUAUCAGGAGGAACAUCAAUAUGGCGAAGGCAGUUAACUAUUCUGUUGCUGACAUUGAAGCAUGAAAGCGUGGGGAGCAAAACGG